rnacentral:rRNA from 1 species
CCUACGGGAGGCUGCAGUGGGGGAUAUUGCACAAUGGGGGGAACCCUGAUGCAGCGACGCCGCGUGGGUGAAGGAGUGCUUCGGCAUGUAAAGCCCUAUCGGCAGGGAAGAAGCAAGACGGUACCUGACUAAGAAGCCCCGGCUAACUACGUGCCAGCAGCCGCGGUAAUACGUAGGGGGCAAGCUUUAUCCGGAUUUACUGGGUGUAAAGGGGGCGCAGACGGCGAUGCAAGCCAGGAGUGAAAGCCCGGGGCCUAACCCCGGGAGUGCUCUUGGAACUGCGUGGCUGGAGGGCAGGAGGGGCAGGCGGAAUUCCUGGUGUAGCGGUGAAAUGCGUAGAUAUCAGGAGGAACACCGGUGGCGAAGGCGGCCUGCUGGACUGCAACUGACGUUGAGGCCCGAAAGCGUGGGGAGCAAACAGGAUUAGAUACCCGAGUAGUC